UACGGAGGGUGCAAGCGUUAUCCGGAUUUAUUGGGUUUAAAGGGUCCGUAGGCGGGCCGAUAAGUCAGUGGUGAAAGCCCAUAGCUCAACUAUGGAACUGCCAUUGAUACUGUCGGUCUUGAGUAUAUGUGAUGUUGGCGGAAUGUGUAGUGUAGCGGUGAAAUGCUUAGAUAUUACACAGAACACCGAUUGCGAAGGCAGCUGACAAAUAUAUAACUGACGCUGAGGGACGAAAGUGUGGGGAUCAAACAGG
rnacentral:rRNA from 1 species